CCUACGGGGGGCAGCAGUGGGGAAUAUUGCACAAUGGGGGAAACCCUGAUGCAGCGACGCCGCGUGAAGGAAGAAGUAGUUCGGUAUGUAAACUUCUAUCAGCAGGGAAGAAAAGGACGGUACUCGACUAAGAAGCCCCGGCCAACUACGUGCCAGCAGCCGCGGUAAUACGCAGGGGGCAAGCGUUAUCCGGAUUUACUGGGGGUAAAGGGAGCGUAGGCGGUGCAGCAAGUCAGAAGUGAAAGCCCGGGGCUCAACCCCGGUACUGCUUUUGAAACUGUUGAACUAGAUUGCAGGAGAGGUAAGUGGAAUUCCUGGUGUAGCGGUGAAAUGCGUAGAUAUUAGGAGGAACACCGGUGGCGAAGGCGGCUUACUGGACUGUAAAUGACGCUGAGGCUCGAAAGCGUGGGGAGCAAACAGGAUUAGAUACCCCAGUAGUC
rnacentral:rRNA from 1 species